GAUGAACGCUGGCGGCGUGCCUAAUACAUGCAAGUCGAGCGGACGGACGAGAAGCUUGCUUCUCUGAUGUUAGCGGCGGACGGGUGAGUAACACGUGGAUAACCUACCUAUAAGACUGGGAUAACUUCGGGAAACCGGGGCUAAUACCGGAUGAUAUUUUGAACCGCAUGGUUCAAAAGUGAAAGACGGUCUUGCUGUCACUUAUAGAUGGAUCCGCGCUGCAUUAGCUAGUUGGUAAGGUAACGGCUUACCAAGGCAACGAUGCAUAGCCGACCUGAGAGGGUGAUCGGCCACACUGGAACUGAGACACGGUCCAGACUCCUACGGGAGGCAGCAGUAGGGAAUCUUCCGCAAUGGGCGAAAGCCUGACGGAGCAACGCCGCGUGAGUGAUGAAGGUCUUCGGAUCGUAAAACUCUGUUAUUAGGGAAGAACAUAUGUGUAAGUAACUGUGCACAUCUUGACGGUACCUAAUCAGAAAGCCACGGCUAACUACGUG
rnacentral:rRNA from 1 species